rnacentral:rRNA from 1 species
GAGUUUGAUCUUGGCUCAGAUUGAACGCUGGCGGCAUGCCUUACACAUGCAAGUCGAACGGCAGCACGGGGGCAACCCUGGUGGCGAGUGGCGAACGGGUGAGUAAUGCAUCGGAACGUGCCCAGUUGUGGGGGAUAGCCCGGCGAAAGCCGGAUUAAUACCGCAUACGACCUGAGGGUGAAAGCGGGGGACCGCAAGGCCUCGCGCAAUUGGAGCGGCCGAUGUCGGAUUAGCUAGUUGGUGGGGUAAAGGCUUACCAAGGCGACGAUCCGUAGCUGGUCUGAGAGGACGACCAGCCACACUGGGACUGAGACACGGCCCAGACUCCUACGGGAGGCAGCAGUGGGGAAUUUUGGACAAUGGGCGCAAGCCUGAUCCAGCCAUGCCGCGUGCGGGAAGAAGGCCU